GUUUUUUUUUCGCAACUACAACAGCCGAACACACUCGUAUCGUUCUUGCUAGGAAUAUAAAUUUGCUUCCCUGAGGAUUGCCCCUACUAUUUGUGCCAGUUUGUUAUAAUGAA